rnacentral:rRNA from 1 species
CCUACGGGAGUCAGCAGUGAGGAAUAUUGGUCAAUGGACGAGAGUCUGAACCAGCCAAGUAGCGUGAAGGAUGACUGCCCUAUGGGUUGUAAACUUCUUUUAUAUGGGAAUAAAAUGUUCCACGUGUGGGAUUUUGUAUGUACCAUAUGAAUAAGGAUCGGCUAACUCCGUGCCAGCAGCCGCGGUAAUACGGAGGAUCCGAGCGUUAUCCGGAUUUAUUGGGUUUAAAGGGAGCGUAGGUGGAUGGUUAAGUCAGUUGUGAAAGUUUGCGUCUCAACCGUAAAAUUGCAGUUGAAACUGGCAGUCUUGAGUACAGUAGAGGUGGGCGGAAUUCGUGGUGUAGCGGUGAAAUGCUUAGAUAUCACGAAGAACUCCGAUUGCGAAGGCAGUUCACUGGACUGCAACUGACACUGAGGCUCGAAAGUGUGGGUAUCAAACAGGAUUAGAUACCCGAGUAGUC